GACGAACGCUGGCGGCGUGCUUAACACAUGCAAGUCGAACGGAAAGGCCCUUUCGGGGGUACUCGAGUGGCGAACGGGUGAGUAACACGUGGGUGAUCUGCCCUGCACUUUGGGAUAAGCCUGGGAAACUGGGUCUAAUACCGGAUAGGACUACGGCCUGCAUGGGUUGUGGUGGAAAGCUUUUGCGGUGUGGGAUGGGCCCGCGGCCUAUCAGCUUGUUGGUGGGGUGAUGGCCUACCAAGGCGACGACGGGUAGCCGGCCUGAGAGGGUGUCCGGCCACACUGGGACUGGGAUACGGCCCAGACUCCUACGGGAGGCAGCAGUGGGGAAUAUUGCACAAUGGGCGCAAGCCUGAUGCAGCGACGCCGCGUGAGGGAUGACGGCCUUCGGGUUGUAAACCUCUUUCAAUAGGGACGAAGCGCAAGUGACGGUACCUAUAGAAGAAGCACCGGCCAACUACGUGCCAGCCGCCGCCGUAACAC
rnacentral:rRNA from 1 species